GUCCCAGUAGCUUAAUAUUAAAGCGCCGGUCUUGUAAGCCGGAGAUCGGAGGUUAAAAUCCUCCCUGAGACC
rnacentral:tRNA from 1 species